rnacentral:rRNA from 1 species
AGAGUUUGAUCCUGGCUCAGAUUGAACGCUGGCGGAAUGCUUUACACAUGCAAGUCGAACGGCAGCACGGGAGCUUGCUCCUGGUGGCGAGUGGCGAACGGGUGAGUAAUACGUAGGAACAUGUCCAGUAAUGGGGGAUAACGCAGCGAAAGCUGUGCUAAUACCGCAUACGUCCUAAGGGAGAAAGCGGGGGAUUCGCAAGAACCUCGCGUUAUUGGAGUGGCCUACGGCUGAUUAGCUAGUUGGUGAGGUAAAGGCUCACCAAGGCGACGAUCAGUAGCUGGUCUGAGAGGAUGAUCAGCCACACUGGAACUGAGACACGGUCCAGACUCCUACGGGAGGCGGCAGUGGGGAAUUUUGGACAAUGGGSSMMMCCCUGAUCCAGCCAUACCGCGUGAGUGAAGAAGGCCUUCGGGUUGUAAAGCUCUUUCAGACGGAAAGAAACGGCCACGGCUAAUACCUGUGGCUAAUGACGGUACCGUAAGAAGAAGCACCGGCUAACUACGUGCCAGCAGCCGCGGUAAUAC